UGCUCAUGAUGUCAAUUUAAUUCAAUCUAAAGGACAUAAAGCGAGCGGCAUCUUUUAAUGUCUUUUGGAAAGGCACUUGUAACACAUUAAAUUUACUUUCACCUUUUCAGCUGGGAUUUUAAGGGGCGAGAAAGAAAGAUCAAUUAUUGGCGGAAUUUGAAGUUUCAUUAAAAUCACUUCUCUCUGCCUGUGUCCUUGCGUCGUUUUAAGUGGGCCAUCUGUCUAAACAUCUCUCAGGGUUCUUUUCCCUUUUUUUCUGAUCAUUUCCUCGCCUUAUUCAUGAACCCUAGGAGUCCAGCUUUGUAGUAGUGUUGGAGCUGGAGCAGCCUCCCCCCGCUGAAUACAGCUCUGGGCCUCAGCCUGCGCAAGACUCCCCCCUCUGCCCACUAAGGCACCCCCACCCGUACCCCCUUCACCACAAACUCUUCCAAAUAGCCUCCCCUUUCCUUUUGCGUCCCUUCAUAAGGGCCCACAGAAUGUCUGAACUUGCUACACGCAAAUGACCCGCCUCAUUGUGGCCGGUUCUCCUCGCCCUCCGUCUCUCUCGCUCUCUUCCCCUCUUUGCCUCUCUCCGACCCACCUACUGUUUCAGAUCCCCCUGUCUCUUCCCUCCUUCCCUGCUUCUCCUCCUUAUUGCAGAUUUGUAUGCAGGCUGUGACCUAGGUGGCUACAAAGCACAGCAGAUUAUUCUUGAUCAUUCCUCUGCCCCCCAUGAAGCCAGUUAUGAGAAAAAGAUCCCUUAAUGAUGCUCUGACUAUUAACAGUGUUUUAUGUCCAAAUGUCUGCCCCAUUCUUCUAACAAACUGGUACAAUAUAGACACAAGAAACUUGAGGAGUGACUAGACAUACAUAGGCUUCUGUGAUUAAGCUUGUAAUUGGAUAUUACAGGCUUCACACUGAAUAAAGCAUUCGCUGAUGAUGCACUUUUGGAUUCUUUGACCAAAAGGUCAGAAAGCAAAUAAAUAACAUAUAUAAAGAAUUUCUGCAUUUGUGCUCUGCUGUAGACAUAUGAAAGACUGAGAUUAGACUUGACUGCUGUCUCCUGUCACUGUGCCAGUAUUGUGUCUGUAGUGGGUCCAUCCAGGCCCCCACAUCUCCCAUCUCAUCCCGGGCUCAUCCCUCUGUCUGUAGCAAGACAAGUCGCAGCGCCAGUCUGGCUCACAGCCAGUGUGGAAGCUCUGGGUGUGUUUCUCUGCAGCUCCUCCAGAGUUACUCUAUCCCUCCUGGCUCUCCUUGCUUGUUUGGGCCAUUUCAGUGGAUGCCCAUGUCUUGCUGUGAAAGAGCGUUAUGCAGCCCACAAGUGACCCACAAGUGCCCAAAAAUGAAUACAGUGUGCUAAUAGCUGUGAGAAGACACCCUGGGAGCAACCAUGAAAUAUGUGCAAGGACCCGUGACCACUGAGAUAAUAGCCCCUGACCAGACCAUGGAUUGUCUGUCCACUCUCUCCUCCGCCGCUCUCCCGCUCAGGUUUGGAGUGGCUCAGGUCCAGGACAGAUGGUUUACAGACAAGGCACUAAAUACUAGCCACAGCAGGGCCGGUGCUGGCUAUUUCCUAGCAGGGAGUUUUGUUUGUGGGAGCUUUUUGUGUUCAUCUGCCGAACCACAUCCAGGGCAGAAAGAAGAGAAGAUGGGGGCAGCUCUAAUUAAAGCCCAAGGAAGAGUGUCAUCUGCUGUGAACUCACAACCAGGGGGGCACAGCAAAUCAAUGGACAGCCAGCACUGUCAUCACCAUCAACAGCUCCCGAUCAGAGCAAUUGGAGGAGAACAAAAAGGAGCGAGAAAGACACUACCGGGGAAGCUUCUACCACCUGUGCAGAACCUAAGAGUGCUGAGGGGGAGAGAAAGAGGGAGCCGGGCACAGACAGCCAUGAAAAACACAGACCGAAAUUGUGACGCCAUGGUUCAAUCUAUUGUGAAACACUGGAGAUUUAUCGUUUCUUAGUUAGGGUUAGCAAUUUUGCAAUCAUCACCGUGGACAUCUAUUUUGAUAAACAAAGGUGCAAUUCUAUGACCAGAAUGAUCUAAAGACCUUUUAAAAAUAUAGAUUUCUUUUUCUCCCUCUUGCUUUUGCUAUUGAAUCUAGCGGCUACAUAGAGAGAGAGAGUGCCAACGAUAAACGUUUCUUGCAACAAGAAAAAGUGUUUCCAGCGCAAAUUUAGAGUAUUGAACUCUGCAAGUGGUAUCAGUGCUCUCCUGUCUGUGUGAACUGUGCCUCCGGGCCAGAGAGUUGAGGUGCGCUGGAUCAGAUUCUUACACAAACACGGCCACAUAGACGGCAUGUUCUCGUGGCAUUAGCAUUCCAAAUGUUUUUUCGAGACGAACGUGAAUGCGACUAUUUUUGUCUCAUAACGCGCACUCUCAGAUAGCCCCUUUUGAAUAAAUGAAUUCUGACAAGGGGAAUCUGCAUACAAAAACACAGCAGGUUUUAAGGCAGCGGCUGGUCGACCAGCGAAGACCUCUGAAGUCCUCUCUGAAUCUCUUCAUUCAUCGCCUGCUCCUUACGGGCCUGCGGCUCUUUAAAUGGCCGCCUGUGUUUGUGCUGUGUUCACACUGGCGGUUAGAGAGGCAGCGAGGCAUACACCAACACAUUAAGUCCUCUGUGUUUGUGGUUGGCACCUGCAAAUCCUUUUACUUGCCAUAAUGUCAUGCAGAAAUGUGUUGAAUUUAAAAUGUGUUCUUAAAGGAAGCUGGAGUGUGAUUCUGUGAACAAAAUAGGAAAAAGCAGCGUAUUUGUUUUUGCCUUCAGGUAGGCACAAAUUUAUUGGUCUUUGUGUCAGAAAUUCAGACACGUGAACUGUUAGACCAAACCAUUUCUAAGAGCUCUAAACUUUCUACACUUUUAUCUUGCAGGGUCAAAAACUAUUUGAUUUGUGUUUUGUUUUGCUGUCAAGUUCUAGCCAAUCCCAAUGUGCUGAGUUAACCUAAAAACAGGGUUAGAGUGACCAGUGUGUCACACUGAGGCAGCCAAAGAGUGGCCUAAAAAUGACAAUGAGCUAAACUACAAAAAAGUAUAUACAGUAUAUAUAUAUAUAUAUAUAUAUAUAUAUAUAUAUAUAUAUAUAUACACACACACACACCUACACACACGUUAUGUGUUACAAUGUUUUCAAUUAAGUAUAGACAACAAUCUUAUAAAUUGUCUAAAUUAUGAUGACAAAUUUUGUCAUCUUUGUUGACAAAUUUAAUAUAAAUAGUAAAAUUCCUACUUAACAUCCCUUUAUAGAAAUUUGUAAUAGUCCUAUUCUUGUUCUCUUUUGUUAAAACUCCAAGAUCACAUUUUGAAACGAACACAGCUAAAACCAGGAAUAAAGCUGUAAUACAGUAGCAAGAGAAAUAUAUGUGGAAGAAAAUAUAGUUUCUUAGGCGGACUGUAUUGACUGCAUGACCAGUUUGGUCAACGUGAUUGUUCAACACAACAAGCACAAGCUUAGUUUAGCUUCUUCACAUGUAAAACAUGAAGGUCGUCUAGAGUAAAUCAAACUGACAAUUGCCUUAUUUUACCCUCUAAUCAUUUCCUAUUUCACUGUGUGUGGAAGAACACUGAAAUCUGAUCAGGUCGUGGAGCCAGGUUGGUUUUGAUGGUUCUUUUUCUCUGAAACACUGACUUCCUUUAAGUCUCGACUAAAAACCGACUUGUUUAGAGUUGUAUUUGAAACAUAAUCAAUUACGAAUUUAAUGAAGGCACUUGACUUAAUGUAAAGUUUUGA